AUUGAACGCUGGCGGCAGGCCUAACACAUGCAAGUCGAACGAGUGGCGGACGGGUGAGUAAUGUCUGGGAAACUGCCUGAUGGAGGGGGAUAACUACUGGAAACGGUAGCUAAUACCGCAUACCAUCAGAUGUGCCCAGAUGGGAUUAGCUAGUAGGUGAGGUAACGGCUCACCUAGGCGACGAUCCCUAGCUGGUCUGAGAGGAUGACCAGCCAACCUGGACGUGGGACGCGGUCCAGACUCCUACGGGAGGCAGCAGUGGGGAAUAUUGCACAAUGGGCGAAAGCCUGAUGCAGCCAUGCGGCGUGUAUGAAGAAGGCCUUCGGGUUGUAAAGUAGUUUCAGCGGGGAGGCGUUACCCGCAGAAGAAGCACCGGCUAACUCCGUGCCAGCAGCCGCGGUAAUAC
rnacentral:rRNA from 1 species